rnacentral:rRNA from 1 species
GAUGAACGCUGGCGGCGUGCCUAAUACAUGCAAGUCGAGCGAACAGACGAGGAGCUUGCUCCUCUGACGUUAGCGGCGGACGGGUGAGUAACACGUGGAUAACCUACCUAUAAGACUGGGAUAACUUCGGGAAACCGGAGCUAAUACCGGAUAAUAUAUUGAACCGCAUGGUUCAAUAGUGAAAGACGGUUUUGCUGUCACUUAUAGAUGGAUCCGCGCCGCAUUAGCUAGUUGGUAAGGUAACGGCUUACCAAGGCAACGAUGCGUAGCCGACCUGAGAGGGUGAUCGGCCACACUGGAACUGAGACACGGUCCAGACUCCUACGGGAGGCAGCAUUAGGGAAUCUUCCGCAAUGGGCGAAAGCUUGACGGAGCAACGCCGCGUGAGUGAUGAAGGUCUUCGGAUCGUAAAACUCUGUUAUUAGGGAAGAACAAAUGUGUAAGUAACUAUGCACGUCUUGACGGUACCUAAUCAGAAAGCCACGGCUAACUACGUG